rnacentral:rRNA from 1 species
AGGACGACGCUGGCGGCGUGCUCACACAUGCAAGUCGAACGGAAAGGCUCCUCGGGAGUGCUCGAGUGGCGAACGGGUGAGUAACACGUGGGUAACCUGCCCCCAUCUUCGGGAUAACUGCUGGAAACGGCGGCUAAUACCGGAUACGACCUGGUGCCGCAUGGUGUCGGGUGGAAAGUUUUUGCGGUUGGGGAGGGGCUCGCGGCCUAUCAGCUUGUUGGUGGGGUGAUGGCCUACCAAGGCGGUGACGGGUAGCCGGCCUGAGAGGGCGGUCGGUCACAUUGGGACUGAGAUACGGCCCAGACUCCUACGGGAGGCAGCAGUGGGGAAUUUUGCACAAUGGGCGAAAGCCUGAUGCAGCGACGCCCGCGUGAGGGAUGACGGCUUUCGGGUUGUAAACCUCUUUUAUCCACCACGAAGGCCAGGUAUUCGCUUGGUUGACGGUAGUGGUUGAAUAAGCGCCGGCUAACUACGUGCCAGCAGCCGC